GGGUUGAUAAUGAGGAGCCCACUACGCAACCUGAGUUCUCUCUCAGGAACCUGGUGAUGGAGCUCUGAGAAAGGACUGAGAUCG